UCUCGACCGCUUUUUGCCUUUGCCUACCCUCCGUGACAGUUACCGCGGUGGAAGUAGCUCUAGAGUCUCCCAUCCUCGCCCCGCCCCCCACUAGCCGCCAUGACAGUUACUGUGGCAAAAGCAGGUUUCAGAGGAGCAGCCCUGUUAGUCCGUAUUCGCAAAAAGAAAAGGAGUCCUUGUAGGAUCGUGUGGGAUGUAGGACAGAGGGGGGCAAACUACGGCCCGCGGGCCACAUCCGGCCCCUGAGCGCCUGGCAGGGGAGGCUAGUCCCCGGCCCCUCCCCCGCAGUAACGCCCCCGCGCGGGCAGCAGGGCUGCGCGCUCCUGCCGCUUUGAGCCGCAUGAAGCCGAGAGAACAGACAGAAAAGGCAAGGAGACAGCAGAACACGCAUUAGGAGCCUGGCCCCGAGUAAAAGCCUACAGAGAGAAGAGAGAUUUUUGGGCUGACUGGCUGGAAAAAGGCUUGGAACUAUGAGCAAAGAAACUGCAUCCUGCUGUUUGAUUCAGGGAAACAGGACUUUGUACUUUCUUUGUAAAUAAACAGGAUUGCAUCAAAGA